UUUUCAGUUCCCCUGCAAGCAAUCCUUCGGCAACCUUGUUUGACUUCAGCGGCUAAGCCUGAGACGUUUGAAGAAUACCAUCUAGACGUCAGUCGCUGUGAUACAGACCGGAGAGAGUGAGGCGCCUGCAGGAUGUCAAAGCACAAUGCACUUGUAUCUUUCAACCCACGAAAGCCAUCACGUACUGCUACUCUUGUUAGUUUCAGUUUUGGACAAGCUGUAUCGUAAUAGAAACCGAUUUCAAAGUUAAUUAAAAAAAAAAAAAAAAAAACUCAAUACAAUGAGACGGUGGGUAAUCAUGAACUGGGGAUGUUGUUAUAAAUGCAGUGAGACAUUAGAGCAUUGGUUUCAUUUUAAAAUGUGCCUUCAAGUAGGCCCUACUAGACACCAGAGGGGUACAAUAAUUAAGUAUAACUUAUUUAAAUAUCCCAAUUUAUAAUUGUAUUGAUAAUUGUAAGCAUGUCUGUUUUUUUUUCAAUUACUUAAUUUACAUAUAUCCAUGUAAUAGGAAAACUGCUUUGAACACAAUAUUUAAAUUGCUAUUCUUUUGAUGUUCUAUUUAUUUAUUUAUUUGAUUUAGCAGGGUAUGCUACUUCCCUCCUAGAAACACACAUUAUUUCAGCUAGUUUACCGAAGGCUGGUACAGUGAUGCGCACACUUUUUAUAUGCCGCCCCCUUUUUAGCAUACAAUUUCUCAUGCACCCUAUUUCUAGAAUAUUGGACUACUAUAUUAAAAUUACGCUUCAAAGAUAACCAUUGUCUUCUGCCGGCAACACAAUUAUGUAAUGUAAUUUAUCACUGACUCUAAUGAUGCUAUUUGAAAUAUACUGUAUUGAUUAUAACCUCCCAAAAAAAUGUAAUAAAUAAUAGUUGAAAAAAUUCAGAACUCUCCACAGAGAUUGCCUGCAGAGUAUUUGCUUGCAAAACGUAAGGAAUUGUCAGGUGCAGCAUAUACACGAAAUUCCAUACAGUACCCUUUAGAAGUUGUUACCCGAUGGGGACAGUUAAUGUUCUGUUAUUUGCUGGCAUCCACGCUCUUGAUUGACAGCCACAGGAGCCCUCUUUUCUAAGAGUCCACUUGAUGCACUUAUCUUUAUUAAAUGUUAUAUAUGCUUGCGUUAUGGGAUCAGAUAAUAACAUCCAAACGAUCUAUACAAAUGCACAUGCUAUGGCAAGUCUUCAGCAAGCUGUGAUAAAUCUAAAGAACAUACCAGAAGUGUUCACCAGAACAAAGCUUUUCUUUGUAUAACAUUGUUCAUUUUUAUUUUGGACUAAUGCUUACUGUUUAACUAGUAACAGUGUGAAGACAAUGAAAGUGUAGCCAACACAAACUGGCUAGUUACUUUAAAUGAGAAACGACAGAUUAUUCAGUGGAAUGUCCUAAUGCUGGACACACACGUAGAAAGAUACGCGAUCUAGUGACCUGAAGAGUAAUUAUUACUAUCACACACUGGCAGCUACUAACCUAUAUCAGGUUUGAUUAAGGUAUUGGUUAAAUGUAAUUCUACAUCUUCACAAAAUAAUUAUUAUCUGAAAAGACUGUAAAAUUCUGUAAUCUGUAAAAUACUGUAAAUACUAAAAGUGUUUAGUAUGGGAGCAUGCUGGGAUUAUAAAUCGGUUUUGGCUACCGAGGCUCUGA